rnacentral:rRNA from 1 species
GACGAACGCUGGCGGCGUGCUUAACACAUGCAAGUCGAACGGAAAGGCCCUGCUUUUGUGGGGUGCUCGAGUGGCGAACGGGUGAGUAACACGUGAGUAACCUGCCCUUGACUUUGGGAUAACUUCAGGAAACUGGGGCUAAUACCGGAUAGGAGCUCCUGCUGCAUGGUGGGGGUUGGAAAGUUUCGGCGGUUGGGGAUGGACUCGCGGGUUAUCAGCCUGUUGGUGGGGUAGUGGCUUACCAAGGCUUUGACGGGUAGCCGGCCUGAGAGGGUGACCGGCCACAUUGGGACUGAGAUACGGCCCAGACUCCUACGGGAGGCAACAGUGGGGAAUAUUGCACAAUGGGCGGAAGCCUGAUGCAGCAACGCCGCGUGCGGGAUGACGGCCUUCGGGUUGUAAACCGAUUUCGCCUGUGACGAAGCGUGAGUGACGGUAAUGGGUAAAGAAGCACCGGCUAACUACGUG